rnacentral:rRNA from 1 species
UACGUAGGGGGCAAGCGUUGUCCGGAAUCACUGGGCGUAAAGCGCGCGCAGGCGGCUGUCUACGUCCGGGGUGAAAGCCCAGAGCUCAACUCUGGGACUGCCUUGGAUACGGGAUGGCUUGAGGAUCGGAGAGGCAAGGGGAAUUCCACGUGUAGCGGUGAAAUGCGUAGAGAUGUGGAGGAACACCUGUGGCGAAGGCGCCUUGCUGGCCGAUUUCUGACGCUGAGGCGCGAAAGCUAGGGGAGCAAACAGG